rnacentral:rRNA from 1 species
CCCUAUUAUUGACGGUAGAAAAAUAAUUGGAGAGUAGGGUUUAAAAGCUGAAAACUAUUCAGAAUGGCGGUUUUUUUUAUUUUCAGAUAGAUGUGUUUUGAAAACGAAAAUGCACGAAUAUCUUUCUUAUCCUAGAAGAACUCAUCCUGUACACCGCCGUCUGAAGAAUCAAUUUAAUCGAUUAAUUCUAUUUCUCUUUUUGCGGAAAUAAGUCAGGUUAGGUGCAGACUAUGGUUAAGAAAAAAUGCAUUUCACUAUGUUCCCAAGGAGAAUUUGAAAGUAUGUUCCCAAGGAGAAUUUGAAAGUAUGUUUUUUUAAUGAAAAAAGAACGAAUUAAUACCAAAAAAAUGUACACAUCGCCCG